UCGAGAAAUGAGGGUCCCAAUAUCACUGAUGCUUUUCCUCCUGCUCUUGGGCGUGGCCUGUGGCGUGCACUGGCGUAUUACGAGGAGAACCACAACCUCAUCUACCUGGGGCCCCAGAGAUAUUCAGAAAUGGUGUAGACUCAACUUUGGGCCGGCUUGGGGUGGCAGAGGAUGCUAAAAUCCACAAAGGUCAUCUACCAUGCCAUCCCGAAUCUUGGCUUAAUAAGUUCAUAGAUACAAUGGAUGGACAAGCUGCCAAGAUUCUGUCUUAUUUCUACAAAUUACGCUCGAAAUUCUAUUGCAAAAUCUUGAGUUUAUUUCAAUUUUCUUUCGUAAUAGUGCUGAUCCCACAUUUAUGAUUGAUAAUUGUCUGUCUGUUCCCUUAAUUUCUGAACCUUAAUAGAUGUUUCUUAAG